rnacentral:rRNA from 1 species
GAGAGUUUUUAACUCUAGUGGCGGACGGGUAAGUAACACGUGAGAAUUUGCCUUUAGGAGGGGGACAACAAUCGGAAACGAAUGCUAAUACCCCAUAUGCUUUCGAGUGAAAUGGAUUUUAUCCGCCUAGAGAGAGGCUCGCGGCUGAUUAGCUUGUUGGUAAGGUAAGAGCUUACCAAGGCGACGAUCAGUAUCUGGUUUGAGAGGACGAUCAGACACACUGGAACUGAGACACGGUCCAGACUCCUACGGGAGGCAGCAGUGGGGAAUUUUCCGCAAUGGGCGAAAGCCUGACGGAGCAAUACCGCGUGAGGGAAGAAUGCCUAUGGGUUGUAAACCUCUUUUUUCAGGGAGGAAUCAAAUGACGUGUACCUGAAGAAUAAGCAUCGGCUAACUCCGUGCCAGCAGCCGCGGUAAGACGGAGGAUGCAAGUGUUAUCCGGAAUCACUGGGCGUAAAGCGUCUGUAGGUGGUUUAAUAAGUCAACUGUUAAAUCUUGAUGGCUCAACUUCAAAAUCGCAGUCGAAACUAUUAGACUAGAGUAUAGUAGAGGUAAAGGGAAUUUCCAGUGGAGCGGUGAAAUGCGUAGAUAUUGGAAAGAACACCGAUGGCGAAAGCACUUUACUGGGCUAUUACUAACACUCAGAGACGAAGCUAGGGUAGCAAUGGGAUAGAUACCCAGUAGUCUAGCUGUAACAUGGA